AAAACGCGUCGUUUGGACUUCUUCCUUCUUCGGAGUUUCCAGCUAUCUUCGGUGAAACUUCAAAAUCGUUGACGUAUACAUAUUGAUAUACAUAUAUAGGAGAGAUCCAUUCCCACAACACCCAUGGUCUUCAAAAACAGAGCAAGCAGAAUAUGACGACCGAGAGAUUGAAAAUUGUAAGACAGAGAGAAAAAUUAAUCGAAAAACAAGGAUUAGGGCAAGUUUGCCCCCGUUGCCGUGGACCCGUUCUCGCUAUGGAUUAUGACACACAGUUAGUAGUGUUUUGUGUGCCUCUUCACCACAAGACAAAGCGUAAGUUUUAUUGCACUGUCUGCUCCACUCGCCUCGCCCCCUCUGCCUGAAUCUGAGAGUUAAUGUAACUCACCCAGGAACGGUAAUAAUAUAUUUCGAAUAAAGUUCCCUGCAUUGCUAUUGUGUGUUAAAAAUAGUUUAGCGAUCAUGUCAUGUGUAUACUCGUAUGCGUGUAAUUCACCUUUCUUGGUUGCUAUAAAAUUGUCUUAAUGAAGUAACAUCCUAGCUGUGUUUGUAAAACUAUGGAUCAUUGUUACAAUUAGAAAUCGUAAUUCUAUUUUAUAGUAAGGUAGCAAUUAGAGGGUUGGACAUAGUCUGCCCCGAUUUGUUUCCAAAGAAAACUGAAUCGAAUCUGAAUUUUGGAAUAUUUAAUAAGUGAAAUCGUCGAGUACAAAUUUAAUUAUGGAACUCGAUUUGGUUCAUCUCGAUUGUCAGGUUCCAUAACAUAAUAAUUUUUUUUAAUAUUCACAACUUUUGAAUAAAAUUCGAGAGUGCCAUGCAAUAAUUUAUGUAAGUAGGUAGUGAAUAAACAGUUGGGCAGAAUUUCAACUACAAAAUGAGCGUAAUAAAAUUAGAAUGAUAAUGAUCGAGGUAAGAGUUCGACCCUUUCUCCUUAAGACGAUAAUGUCCCGUACUGGUGUUGACUAUUUUUCGACACUCGUCUCCCAAAAUACAACGACAUUGACUUGUAAUAGUAGCACUCCAAAUUACAAGACUUGACGAACUUACUAAUAUUUUGAUCCCUCGAAAAUCGGAGGAUUAAAAUGCAUGAAAUUAUUAUUUGGGACUGAAAUGUAAAAUAUGGAAUACUGCAUGACGGAAUAAAGGUAUUUUGCAAAUGAACAAAAUUGGAGAUCUUGCCGUCUAUUUAUAUAAGUUGAAAGAUUUUGCCCAAAAGACAUAACAGUCGAAAAGUUGUCUGGAACCGACACAACUCGUUUGGACAGGCAGUUAAAACUGUAAGCAAUUGCCAGUUUCUAGAAGAAGUCAUGUGUCUCGGACAGAAAAUUCUGGGGAGAAAAAAAUAAAUUAUAUAAUGAAAAUAUAUUUUUUAAUAUACAAAUAAUAUAAUUAAAAUAUUAUUUUACCAAAAAAUAUAUAUACCAAUUGAGCCCGAGCCCGAGCCCGAGCCUGAGCCUACGACCCACAACCCGUGGUCGUGUCGUGACGAGUCGAGUCGGCCGAUCGAACGGACGACGACAACGAUGCGCGCAUGUGAGCUUUAGUUUAAACUACUAGCAUGUAGGUCACCUCCCCUCCAAAACACUAGUCCCAAUUUAUUUUAACUUUAAGUGGUCAUCUUUUGACUUUAAAUUCAUAUUCAUCCUUAAUUAGUUUUGAGAAAUAAAUAUAUAUAUCAAUUAUACUCAUGGAGUAGAAUACACUUGACCAAAGAAAUCAUUUAUUGUGUGUAAUUAUAUAAAGAAUCGUGUAAUUGAAUGCUUUACUCUGCACAUGAAUUCGAACUAAAAAUAGGAUUUAUGUUUAACCUAUCUCGAGAUAGAUAGUUAAAUAAAAUUGGAUUAUCAAUUAUCAUUAAUACACAAAUCACACUAAAUUACAUGGUCAAGAAUUGAAAAUAGAACAUUAAUAGGUGGAUUUGAAAUUCCAACACAUUCGUUCGCAUAUUUAGUUAUAAAUAAUUUAGAUAACUGGUAAAAUACCUUAGAUAAAUAAACAUAAAUCUAUUUUGUUACUAUACGUUCGAAUUUGAUAAUGGAUUGGUACAAUUCAAUUUAAACUUUAUUACUCGUGGGAGUAUACUCUUUAAUCAUCAAAUCUAUUAUUUGUUAACUAUCCGUACACUUGGGAAUUUUGCAUGAACAAAUUUUUGGUGUCAUUGUCGGGGAAUAAAGUCAUUAAACUGAAUUUAUUGAUUCAUAAUUGGAUUCGAAAUUUUUAAUUUUAUUUAUUUUAUUGGCUGGUUAUCACAAUACUGAUCUCUCUUGUAUUUGAUGUUCUUACUAGGUGCUAUUCACUAGCUUCUGCAUGAUUUCGACGGGGAAGCAGCAACACUUUUUCAAUGAUUAAUCCCAAUAUAGAUGAUAAAGAUUUGCUAGUAUGAGAUAUAUAUUAUGAAUUUUGUUACAGGAUGCAUUAUACUGACCAAUGCUUGUAUACAUGUACUGAUUCCUUUAUGACAAGGCUUCUCCGGUUUAAAUAAUAUUUUAGAUGUCGAAACAAGUAAUUGAUAAAUCUGAUUAAGGUUACAUGCUUGAGAAGGGAUUUCGUACCUGUUGAUUGGAAUUUGAUGAUAUCUUACUUGUGGUAGAUGGUCUUCUCCUAUUAUAGGAGAAUGUAAUUGCAAAAUAUUAUAAUGAACUUGUCAAGUUGGAUGAUUGCAAAAUGUUUGUAAGAAAUGGAAUAUACUAUAGUGAAU
rnacentral:lncRNA from 1 species